GUUUUAACGAUAAUAACAAAAUAAAGGGUAAAGUAAAUAGUACCAUAAUUGACUUUUUAGUGUUAAAAUGUGAUUUUCAUUAAAGUGAACAGUACUGUGAACUUUUCGUUAAAGUUCCCUUUGAUUAUAUGUAUGGAAAGUGACACAUCAAAAUUAGGGUUAUUUAUUAUUUUCUUCAUGCGGUCUGAUGGGUCUUUCAAACCUCAAUCAAGGCAUCCACAGUUGGUUUGACUGGUAUAAUUUGAACACUCUGAGAUAAAACCCUCGAGCAACAUAUUAACACGAGGAUACAUUUUGUUUCAUUGAAUUGAGCCUAUAUAAACAGUGGGAGUUUCUCAUGUUUAGUUUAGGGGAAAUUUACCAUAAAGGAAAAAAAAAUCGUUGCAAGGUUUGCGUAAGUUAAUGUGCUUAAAAAUAAAACGAAGAACAUUAUUUAAUAGCAUACUCGAAGAAGUAGUACAACGCGUGACAGCCAAGUUAGAACCGUGGCUAAAUCUUUUAAGAGCAAGCAAAAUAGACGCAGCUAUUUGCUUCUCCACCAAACACUGGAAACCCCAAACAGACUGCAGACACACCAACGAGAGAGAUCGAUAUUGCUCCUAAUUAAAACUAACCAGACAAAUGAUUUCUAAUUAAGGACUUAAAACCAGACCAUUAAACCAAACCCAACUGGACCCCACUGGAGCAAACUGGUCAUCUCUGAGAGUUCAUGGAACAACUGGAGCUGAGCCACCACCUGCACCUAAAGGAAUACCACCGCCGCCAAGAGGAACACCAGGGGUAUUGGUGGGCAGGAGUGGGACUGAGCCAAAACCUGUACCGCCUGUAGGGACACAGCCUCCAGGGAGAGAGCAGAAGCCUGACGGCCCAAACCCUAUCCCAGUAAAGCCUGGUGAGCCUGGGUAGAUACCGCCUACACCGCCGUAAACGUUCUGAGGCUGAGCAACAACCUCCCCCUUUUCGUUGCUCUUGAGCACCCUGCCUCCCUCAACCGGCAUUGCAGCCACCACCAGGAUGGUGGUCAGGAGCAGCGCCAGCUUACUCACUCUCUCCAUGAUCUUAAAAAGAGGAUUCUCAAGAGUAAAAAAGUAAAGAACAAGCUAGGGUUUAUAAGCUCUCUUUCAGCCUCACACGUCACUCACACUGGGAAGUGAAGCAACAUCAGUCUUCUUAUAGCGAAAAAGAUUUCCAUUUGAGGAUGAUCAUAAUUACACUUUUAUCUUGCCAUUUAUGGAGGGAUGGUUGCCUUGCUAAAUGCUGUUGUUACUGUUAUGGGGCUUAAUUAAGGGAAACAUACACCAAUAUAACGGGUAAUAAGCUUUUAAUCAAAAUUAGAACUGCUAGAGUACUCGUGGUCGUGGAUAAGACUUUUUAAAAAUCUCAAUUAGAAAUUGGUAUACUUACAAUACAGAUGGACACUAAAUAGACAAUAACUUGACACUAAAAAGAUACUAAAAUGUUUUUUACUGACUGUUUAGUGCCCUUUGCUCCUAGUAAAAAGUUCUAUUUUUGUCCGUUUAUUAGUAUCCUCAAUUUGAACAAAAGAAAGUUAGUAUCCUCAAUCUUUUCAUUUUAUUUUGUUAAAGUUUAUAACCACUUGUGUAUGCAGCAAAUUUCCCCCUUAAUUAAUUAAUUAGUUAAUCACAAAGAAAAAACUCAACUGAUAUGUAUAGAUUUGAGGUUAGUCCAGUCAUCUAGAGUAGUGAGUUUCUUUCUGUACUCGUAUGUAUUAUCCAAAUUAUCAGCGUAGCCUUUGGGUUCUUGACCAACCAUGCCUUUUUAUUUUUUUAUGAAAAUGCUCGGAGGUUGUUUUUUUUCGUUUUUGUUUUUUUUUUAACAAAUGAUGUUAUCUACACUAAAGGGGAUGGGGUGAGCUUAGCCUCACAAUAAGCUAGCAAUAAUGUGAUUCAAAUUUGCCUUUGGCGAGAAUCGAACUUAAGACCUCUCACUUACAAGUGAAGAGGAAUAUUACUAGACCGUAGUAUUAAGUGGCCGGAUGGUGGUUUUUAACCAUGCUAAAUGACACUAAUUAACCAGCAUAUUAACUUUUGGUAAAUGGAGUAGUUGAUUUUGGAACAGUAAUAAUUUGCAAUGGACGGAGAUGCUAAGGCCACCACCCAUCCCUCCAGUACAAACUGUAGUUACAGUGGAUCUAUAUGUUAUUGGUGUGGAAUUUAUGGUGGUCCAGUUGAGAUGGGUAAGAGCCUUAAAUCGCCGGACAUGCAUUUUCCUUGCACUUUAUUACCUUUCCAGUUUUAACUAAUGUUCUGAUUUAAUUCACAUAUCUACCACACUGCACCCCUGCUAAAUUCCUUGAUAUAUAACAGACUCUGACCAGAAAGUUUUAACUGGUUUAAUGGCUUGUUACAGAAAUUCAAAUUUCACCACCAUCAAACAUUCAUCUUAAUCUUUUUAUCAUGCAAUUUUAAACAUUCUGAUGGCAAAUUUUACACAUGAUCAUCCUGUUAAUCAAGUGAUCACUAUCUUCUUCUUCUUCUUCUUCUUCUUUUUUUUUCCUGAAUUAAUGCCUAGCAAUUGUUAGAUCAAACACAUUCUAUAUCUAUAUAUCAAUCCAUAUGUAUUCGCAGAUAAAAAUUAUCCAUCCAUCCGUCCAUUGAUUUCAGAUUAAAAUCAAAAUACAUUUAUCCAAGUUCAAAUUCAGAUACACAUUCAUUCCUUACCCUAAUACAAAUAUAACAAGUUAGCAUAUACAUCCAUUAAUAAGAGAUAUUCAUUUCGGUGUAAUGCUGGAAUUCGAUGCUUUCUAUCCCUUUCCCUUACUCGUACCGCUCUUAGCUGAGGUGAUCCACAAGAAAUAUAUUUAGGAGUCUUAAUUAGUAUAAUAAGAAGAGAGUUAACAAAGCCAUCCAAGUAGCAAGCUUGGAAAAAACAUUUUAAAAGACAUUAAACUUCCAAGUUUUUUUUCCAACUAUCACAUCCGGAUUGGUUUCAGAUUCCAUCUUCUUCUACAGCCUUAUACCCUCAAACUUAAUCAAUUGAUGCAUCCCUUUAGCAACCAGAGCAAGAACAAGUUUCGGACUCUAUGAGCGGUUCACGACAAUCUAAAGUUUUUCAAAUUCAGUUUCGUGUAGUUCCCACAUGAGAAUUAAUAUUCAACUUCAUGUUUUCUUAUAAGUUUCUGUUGUCAAAGAUGAGUUCUCAGCAUCCUCUCGUGCCAUUCAAAUUUAUACUUGGUAAUAUUGACACGCCCCGACCCCGAUAUUCCCCGAAUAUCAGGAUAGGCACGUGCUGGCUGACACCCGAUGUGACGAAAGCCAUUUAUUGAAUACAAGAGUAAAGAUUAGGAGAAAAUAUAAAUAUAAUUCUCAGAAUGUCUAAAGGAAAUAAACAGUGCUUAAGAAAGUGGCUAGAGUGCACAGAGCAUGUUCUAAUUCGAGAUUUCAAAAGGAAAGACUAUUACAGAUUUCACACAAAGAAAAUGGACGCAACUACUGGUAGGGGAAUGCCUCGUAUAUUGCGUCGUAGUCCUCGUCCCUAAGACCUGAAUGGGGGCGCAAAACAAGGGUGAGUGGACCAAGUUUAUAUACAUACAUAAUACGAAAACAAUUAUAAACAUACUAACCCCCACAGUUAAGAUAAUGAAAACUACUAAAUAAUAAGUGAUAGGUUUCUCAAAACCUCUAGCAUGCCAUAAAAAUAAUUCAUAUAUCUCUCUGCAAAUCAAUCUCAGAAAAUCAUAUCAGAAAUCAUAUCAGGAAGCAUAACACAAGUUGUGCUGCUAGUGAGUGCACUGAAUAACAAUACUUCCGGCCCAAUGCCUGCACCUCAGUCUCUGUGCCGGUAGCCAGAGAUAUCUCCCUCCCAACCCAAUGCUUGUCUCCGUGUCCCUCAGCCUUUCGCUAGGGAUUAUUUCUCCCGGCCUCAAUGCCAACACCAGAUCCUCGCCCCAGGCGGCAUAGUGUUCACUAGGUACGCACAAAACAUAAUUCAUCUCUAAAAUACAACUUCGUAGCAUAAAUUCAUCGAUCCUCUAUACUACGAAGAGGUGUUCAAAAAUCAUUUGAAACAACAUUCUUAGCAUCCUAUCGUCAUCGAUCAGAUAGUUUACCAGAAUGAGGGUUCUAAAGAAAAAUACAAUAUAGUGCAAAUAGUAUAUAUAUAUAUAUAUAUAAUCAAACAUCAUUAAAUCAUCAUGCUUUCUGUAAAGUAUUCCUCAAAUCAAAAAUUAUGCAAGACAUGCUAUUAAAUUAUGCAAUUUUAUCAAUAAAACAUGCAAUUUUUUAAGGUGGUCCACUCACAGAUACUCCGAAGCAGCAGAAUUGUGCGGAAAAUGAUUAAGGAAGUCUCCACUAGCAACUUCACCUAAGCACGAAACUAUACAACUUAAUCAAACUACCCAAUAUAAUUCUAGGAAAUGGAAAUGGGCCUUGGGUUUGGAUAGGUUAGGAUCAAGAGGUGGUUUGGGCUUGAGCCCAAACCCAUACUUGUACACAUUACACACCUACACACACACAGCAUGCAUAAGCAUGCACUUCACACACACACAGAGCAUGCACCGUACCCCACACACACACAUACAUGCACACGGCAUACACUCACACAGCACACGCACACCCACAACACAAACACGCACACGGCCCAACUUCCUACACAAACAUACACACAUAUUCACAUGCACUGCACAUACCCACGCACAGCAUACAUACACACACAGUUCACACAUACAUACACACAACACACACUCACACCCACAACACACAUACAUAUACUUACACACCAGCACACACACAUACGUGCACUACAUACACACACAAUAUACGUACAUACACAACACAUCGCACACACCACGCAUUAGAUUAAAUGUAGAAUUAUGGAGAAUAAUCCGAAUAAUGACUUUGAGGUACGACUUGAAUCGUUUCCUUAAAGUGUUAUUUGCCCCCACUCGAAUGAGUUUGCUAAAGGGUUCUUGGCAAAUCACUUCCAGGAUACAACAAAGUAUGGAAUAUUCGAUUAGCAAAACCGAAUUAUAUUCCCUUAGAAAUAAUUAGAAAGAAAUUGUAUGAAUGUGAUGAAGAGAGUAGAGAGAAAUGAAUGUAGAAAUAAAUCUCUGAAUUGUGUAUGAAACAUUAUGCCACAAUAGGUAUUUAUAGGCAUUAAGGCACCCAUUCAUCGAGUCCUUUCAUUUUAAUUGAAGAUAUACAACUUUUCUUAAAAGUGUUGAUCUAAAAGACAUGUCCUCUAUUUAGAAUUUUCAGAAAAUAAAUAUUUACUAAUUAUAUCUUUUAAUUUUACUCAUACAAUUUGAGUAAACAUCAUAUCUUUUAACUAAAAGUUGUAACCAUUCAACUAAUUACAUUCUGCGUACUGUAGCACCCUUACAUUUGCUGCGCACUGCAACAUCCUUUCAUAAUACACACACGCUGCACAAUGCAGCACCAAGUCAUUAUAUAUAUAUAUAUAUAUAUAUAUAUAUAUGUAUGUAUGUAUAUAUGUAUGUAUAAAUAUAAUAUAAUAUAUAUCAUAAUAAUUUAUAUAUUUAUUAUUGAAAUCUCUAACAAUCCUUCCCAAUUUCAAUAAUAUGAUAAAUAAUAUAAUAACAUUUCUCUCUUUAUAAUUAAUCACAAGCAUACCGAUAUAAUCAUGCAUACAAUAAAGGUGUCUUUCGAAUUAAACCUUUAAUUAGUGUAAGUAAUUCAAAGUUAUAACGAAUGCGAUGGUGACCUAAGUUUAAACCACCUAUUCUUAUGUUAAAACCGGAAUCACUACACACAUGAUUAUGUCUUAUUUCCUUAAAGAAAUUUCUGAACUAAUUAAGCACUAUUAUGGCCUUGUGCUUCAUCCUGGUUUCAUAAACAUUUACAAGAGAAAACCCAACUCUUGGUAGAAGCGGCACCACUUCUUAUGUUUAUAUAGGUGAGGUUCCUUCCCAUGUCCCUGCUACUAUAGACAUAACUACAAAUAACCUCAUUAAGAGAUAAAACUCAUCCUCCUAAACGUAGCAAUCUUGCACUGAUCAUCCUGGAAUGAGCUAUAUAAUAAUUUUCAGUGCUUUCACAACCACUUAACAAUAACUUGUUAUUACCCAUUAAACUUUUAAACUAGUGAUGUUCUAGACAAAGUCGGGUUACCAUUAUUGGUGGCUAAUUUUCAGUAAAAGGUUUUAGCCCCAUUCCACUAGAUGUACUAACUACCAAAGCUCUUGAAAGUGCUUUCGUUAACGGAUCCGUCAAGUUAUUACUUGAUUUAACAUAAACAAUAUUAAUAACUCCAUCAGUUAUUAAUUGCUUGACAUAUUCAUGUCUCAAGCUAAUAUGUCUAGAUUUUCCAUUGUAUACCUUAUUGUAUGCUCUAGACAAAGUAGCCUCACUAUCACAGUAUAAAGAAAUGGAUGGCAUUGGUUGUGGCCACAACUCUAUUUCCAAUAACAAAUUUCUAAUCCAUUCCGCUUCUUUACCUGCUGCUGCUAAUGCUAUAAAUUCAGAUUCCAUAGUUGAAUGUGCUAUACAUGUUUGCUUCUUCGAAGCCCAAGAAAUUGCUCCUCCGGCAAUUGUAAAAAUCCACCCUGAUGUAGACUUAUUAUCAUUAGCACUUGUUAUCCAACUUGCAUCUGAAUAUCCUUCAAGUACUGUUGGAAACUCAGAGUAAGUUAAACUCAGGUUAAUAGUUCUUUUAAGAUAACCAAAAAUUCUAUUUAUUGCUUUCCAAUGAGCAGUACCUGGAUGACUAGUGUAUCUAGAAAGUUUGCUUACUGCAAAUGCGAUAUCUGGUCUGGUACAAUGCAUGGCACAUUAAACUUCCGAUUACACUAGCAUACUCAAGCUGUGCAACAGACCUACCAGAAUCAUUAAGCAAAGUUUCAUUAUGGUCAUAAGGGGUAUUUGCUUCUUUUAUUUGUAGAUGCUUAAACUUAAGAAGCAAUUUUUCUAUAUAAUGUGACUGACACAAAGCGUAACCCCUACUAUGCUUCUUUACUUUAAUUCCCAAGAUAGUAUCUACUUCAUUCAAAUCCUUCAUCUUGAAUUUUGAAUUUAGAUACUCUUUAGUUUCAGAUACACCUUUCAUGUUUGUACCAAAAAUAAGCAAGUCGUCGACAUAUAAACAUAUAACAACACCAUAAUCAUUUGUGAAUUUAGAGUAUAUGCAUUUAUCAGCAUUGUUAUGUCUAAAUCCAUAUGAUAAAAUGACAAAAUCAAACUUUUCAUGCCAUUGUUUUGGUGCUUGCUUCAAUCCAUAUAAUGACUUUACUAAUUUACAAACCUUCUUUUCAUUCCCAGGGAGAACAAACUCUUCUGGUUGUUCCAUAUAGACUUCUUUAUCUAAAUCACCAUUUAAAAAUGCUGUUUUCACAUCCAUUUGAUGCACAUGCAAAUUAUAUAAAGAUGCCAAUGCAAACAAUAUUCUAAUUGAUGUGAGCCUAGCUACUGGUGCAUAUGUAUCGAAUAGUAGUCUCCUUUUUUCUGCUUAAAACCUUUGGCAACUAGCCUGGCUUUAAAUGUCUGAAUAGACCCGUUUGUAUUGUAUUUUCUUCUAAAUACCCACUUACAACCUAUUGCUUUUGAUCCUUGGGGCAAGUCUACUAAAACCCAUGUCUGAUUAGAUAUUAAUGAUUCAAAUUCAUCAUCUAUAGCCUCUUUCCAAAAGGCUGCAUCUCUUGAAGUCAAUGCUUCGCUUAGACUUUUAGGAUCAUCCUCAACAUUCAACAAUAUGGGUAUUUUCUUAAGAACCUUUGUUCUAUUUCCUUCGACUAAAAAUACAAUAGAUUGAGAUGAAAUAAAAUCAGAGCCUAGAGUCUUUUCUUUUCUUACCCUUUGGCUUUUCCUUGGUUCAUUAACAGUUUCAGACUGUUUUCUUUUCUCACCUUGAGAUUGACUAGUAGACGGAUUAGAGAAAUGUGUUUGAUCAUUCUCUUUUCCAGACACUGAGUAGUCAUUAUAGAAUUUAUUUUCUAUAAAUUCGACAUCUCUAGACUCAACUAUUAUGUUCGAGUCUAAAUUAAGCAACCUAUAUGCCUUUGAAUUUUCUGCAUAUCCUACAAAUAUGCUUUUAAUUCCUCUUGGACCCAACUUGGAUCUCUUAGGAUCGAGUGCCUUAUAAAAAGCUACACAACCCCAUACUCUCAAAUAUGACAAAUUUGGUUUUCUUCCUUUCCAAAUUUCAUAUGGUGACACAUGUGUCUUCAUAGAUGUAAUUCUAUUGUGUAUAUGGCAUGCAGUAAACAAUGCUUCACCCCAUAAAUAUUUUGGAGUAUUAGCAUUAAUCAUCAUAGAAUUAAUCAUUUCAGUGAGUGUAUUUUUUCUUUCUGCCAAACCAUUUUGUUGUGGUGUAUAGGGUGCAGUUCUUUGAUGUACAACACCAUGCUCUUCACAAAAAUUAUCAAAUUCAUGUGAAAAAUAUUCACCACCUCUGUCACUACGAAGACAUUUAAUUUUCCUUCCCUUUUGGUUUUCAACUUCAGCCUUAUAGCGCUUAAAGCACUCAAAAGCUUCAUCUUUAUUAGACAAUAAAUAAACAUAAGUAAAUUUAGAACAAUCAUCUAUAAAUGUGAUAAAAUAUCUUUUUCCUCCUCUUGUUAAAACACCAUUAAAUUCACAUAUGUCAUAAUGUAUUAAGUCUAAUAAAUUUGUAUUUCUUUCGGUAGUUGGAAAAGGUUUCUUAGUCAUUUUCGCUUGAAUACAUGUUUCACAUUUAUCAUUAUAAUCAUCAUUGCAAGUAAUAAAACCAAGUGUACGCAUGUAUUUUAAAGAUCUAAAAUUUAUAUGUGCUAAACGUAAAUGCCAUAAAUGAGAGGAAGAUUCAACAAUAUAAACAGAAGAAUUCACUUUAUUAUUGAUACUUAGUUUGAACAUCCCCUCACAAGAAUAUCCCUUCCCAACAAACAUCCCAUUUCUCGACAUUAUUAACUUGUCGGACUCUAGAACAGUCUUUAUACCGUUCUUACAUAAUAAAUUUGCAGACACAAGAUUCUUUCUAAUUUCUGGAACAUGCAGUACAUUAAGCAACGUCAAUUUCUUCCCAGAAGUAAAUUGAAGUUCAACGGUUCCUUUUCCUAGAACUUUGGCGGAAUUAUGAUUCCCCAUUAAGACUUCUUGAUUGUCCGUUGAUGCUUCAUAUGUCUUGAAUUGUGCCUUGUCAUUGCACACAUGUAUAGUAGCCCCUGAGUCGAGCCACCAAUCGGAGGAUUUUAUUACCGCUGCCAUAUUCAGUUCGGUAAUCAUGCCAAUAUGCAUCAUUGAUACCAUUGCAACAAUGUUAUCAAUUCCAGCGUUUUCCACCAUAUUUGCGCUAUUAGUCUUAUUGGCAUAUUCCUCACUUGCUUUUCUGUGUCUACAAUCACGAAUGUAAUGGCCUUUCUUUCCACAAUGGUAGCAUACACCAUUUGCAUUCUUUUUAUUGUUUUUGGAAUUGGUCUUCUUAAACUUCCCUUUGUCAAUUUUGACUUUGAAGUUCUUUUUAUAUUUGUUUCCUUCGACAAUGUGAACUUUAGAGAAAUCUUGAUUUGCAAAAUUCUUAUCACGAUUUCGAGUUUCCUCUUCAAUUUGAAUACCCUUUUGCAAAUUCUCUAAACUAAUAUCUUCCACCAUGUGUAGAAGUUUCUUUCUAUAGUUAUUCCAUGUUUGGGGUAAUUUUGCCAUAAUAGCCCCAACUAUCAUAGAAUCCGGAAUAACUAUUUUAAGUUCACGAAGCUUUGAGACCAAGACCAAUAAUUCAUGAACUUGGUCUAGGAUGGGUUUGUUAUCAAACAUAGUGAAUUCAUAAUAUUUAAACAUUAAAAAUUUAUCGGUACCUCUUUUUUCCGUUGUGUACUUGUGUUCAAGUGCUUCCCAAAUUUCCUUUGGAGAUUGAAUGUGUGCAUAAAGGUCAUAUAAACGAUCAGAUAAUGUGCCCAAGAUGUGUCCUCGACAUACCAAUUCAUCUUCUUCACGCUUCUUUCGAUCGGCAACAAUAUUGUCCGAGUCUUUGUCACUUGGUUCACGAAUAGGCUCCAAUGUCGGGUCCAACACAUAUAUGACAUUUAGAACAGUAAGCAUGAAACGCAUCUUGUCCUUCCAUCGGGUGAAAUUUGAUCCAUCAAAUUUGUCUAACUUGUAGACAUCUUGAUUGAUAAUCUUUAAAGCCAUGUUAUCAGAUUUGUUAUCCAUAACGAAAAUAACACUUUAAGAUUGUUAGAUUAAAUGUAGAAUUAUGGAGAAUAAUCCGAAUAAUGACUUUGAGGUACGACUUGAAUCGUUUCCUUAAAGUGUUAUUUGCCCCCACUCGAAUGAGUUUGCUAAAGGGUUCUUGGCAAAUCACUUCCAGGAUACAACAAAGUAUGGAAUAUUCGAUUAGCAAAACCGAAUUAUAUUCCCUUAGAAAUAACUAGAAAGAAAUUGUAUGAAUGUGAUGAAGAGAGUAGAGAGAAAUGAAUGUAGAAAUAAAUCUCUGAAUUGUGUAUGAAACAUUAUGCCACAAUAGGUAUUUAUAGGCAUUAAGGCACCCAUUCAUCGAGUCCUUUCAUUUUAAUUGAAGAUAUACAACUUUUCUUAAAAGUGUUAAUCUAAAAGACAUGUCCUCUAUUUAGAAUUUUCAGAAAAUAAAUAUUUACUAAUUAUAUCUUUUAAUUUUACUCAUACAAUUUGAGUAAGCAUCAUAUCUUUUAACUAAAAGUUGUAACCAUUCAACUAAUUACAUUCUGCGUACUGCAGCACCCUUACAUUUGCUGCGCACUGCAACAUCCUUUCAUAAUACACACACGCUGCACAAUGCAGCACCAAGUCAUUAUAUAUAUAUAUAUAUAUAUAUGUAUGUAUGUAUAUAUGUAUGUAUGUAUAAAUAUAAUAUAAUAUAUAUCAUAAUAAUUUAUAUAUUUAUUAUUGAAAUCUCUAACAAUGCUCACACACACACACACACACCUUGCACGGACCAAACAUACCAAACACACACUCACGAACUCGCCGAAGUUCGUCGUCGGAACCGGACAUGCAUGCACAAAGGAUGGCAAGGGUUAGGGCUUGAAUGAAGGGUUCUAAAACUUCACAAAUAUACCUAACAACUCACCUGGACGCACUGCAGCAGGUUUUGGGAAGAAAUGGACCUCGAACUCGUCGGAGUUCGUCGUCGGAGCUAGAUUAUUGGCACAGAGAAAAACUGAGGUCAAAACCCUCAAGUUUUGUCAUAAAACCAACAUGCAUAACCCAGAAAUUUGAAGAAGGAACACACUUCUCACCUGGGUUCGAGUUUUAGAGCUUUGAAGCUCUCAGCUUCAAUGGCAGAAAACUCCACGAUGCUCUGAUGGCGCAUGCAAGGGUACCAUUGAGUUCGUUAAGUCUCAAGGAUUCCAAAUAUAUAGAUUUUGGGGUUUGAUUUGUGAAGAAAGUGAGGUGAAAGCUAGAGAGAAGCUCUCGGAGUUUAGAGAGUGAGAGAGUGAGAGAGAAGAAACCGAAAGAGAGAGAGCACUGAGAUUGGAAAAUUGUUUCGGGAAGAGAGGGAAGAAGAGAGAGAUCUGAGAGCUGCCACAUGGCAGUUUAAGAACAAUAGAAAUUCUAGAUUAAGGGUUAGGAUUAAAAGAGAAUAAGGGACUAAAUUGAUAGAUAACAAAUAUGUUCUAGGGGAGAAAUAGAGAUAGAAUGAAAAUAUGGGGGUGGGGUUUAACAAAUAUGCCAAAUUCCCCCGAAAUAAAUUAAUAGUAAAAAAAAAAACAAAAAGGACCAUCUUCUCUUUUCACCAGCCACCUUCAUUAAGAACAUAAGAAAUAACGAAACUAAUGGAACUAGUACUAAGGUGGUUGGAGAUGGAGGGAGAAAGGAUGAAUUUAUGGUCAACGAUUAGGGAGAGGGGCCCUAAUUAUGUAACACAAGUAAACAUAACAGUUAUGUAAUAGAAUACAUAUAUAGAAACAAACCAAUUUGGAGUGAAUAUUGAGUUUUAGAGAGUAAAGUGGCGGUUUUUGAGUUUCAUGAGGCAAAGGGGAUCAAAGUCGAGUUCUAAGAAGCAACGAGACAACUUUUGAGUUUUAGAGGACAGUGAGAUCGAAAUCAAGUUUUAAGGAGAGUGACUAAAAAUAAGCCUUUUUUUUUUUUAAAUCAAGUUACAAGAUAAGUGAGACAGAUGAAAAAUUGUAGUAAAAGUGACAAAAAUGUUUGAGCAAUCCCCUAAAAGCAGCAUCUCAUAUUCAGUACUUGUAGCAUCAACGAUGAUGCGAUACAUACUUAUGCAGUGACAUAUUAUUGUUUGAAUUUAGAUCUACAUUUAUCCUGUAUCCAUAUAAUUUCCGAAAAUGUUUUGUGAACGAAGGAAUCAAGCAGAAAAGAUUUUACUAACAAACUUAAUAAUGAAUUUAAUUACAAUUAAAUUUGCAGCCAAUAAAAUUCCCAGAUAUUCUAAUUGACAACCCUGCAAUUCUUCCUGAUUUCACCCUGUCUUCCUGUGAGGACAUCAAUAGAUCCCAUUUUCACCAUGGCUGCUCCAAACUUAUUAGCCCAUGCAGCACCAAAUCUGGCAUUGUUCCUUACAAACCCAGCCGUCGACCGGCUAGUGAGAAGCGUUUGAUCCGAUGCAAGCAUGCCCUGGUGGUUCUUCAAAUCAGUGUAGUACUUAUUGUCUAGCUUAUUUGGUGUAAGAACAUCAAGUGGCACCGUUUUUGGAUCGUCAGACGAUCUAGGGCACUUCUUCUUCAAGUUUCUAGCAAAUAUGGGAUCCAUUGAUGGAUCUGUAGGGUGAGUUGCAUUGAAGGAAUACAAGCGAUCCAAGAUGGUAGAACAGCGUGUCACACCAAUAGAAUGUGCCCCGGACAAUGUGACCAUUUCGUCCAAGCUAAGGCCUUUUCGAGCAAAAUUCUCCUCGAGUUGCUUGGCGUCGAAGGAAGGUGGGGGCAGGUGGUCGUUAGGCUCAUCUCGGAGGGAGAUUCUCCCGUCACGCCGACCUGAUGGCACUGCAUAGUUUAUUCCACCAACUUGGAGUGCGCCGUCACGAGCUGCAAAUGCAAGGAUGUCAGCACAUGACACGGUAUUUGGACAUUUUGCUUCGAGUUCUGCCUUUGCCUCAUCAAUCACUUCAAACCCUCUUAGGCUUGGAAAGUUUGCUGGAUGCUCUUUUUCGGAUGGGUUUUCGGGAGUUGAAUCAAGUAGGACAGAAGCAUCACAACCC
rnacentral:lncRNA from 1 species